ACAGUGGAAGAUCCACUAACGAAUCAGAAGAAGUAACAGAUGGCGAUGGCUGAUGGGUGGCGGGUGCAGGGAGUUGAGGCGGAGGAUUCACGAAAUCAUCGAAGCUUCCCCCUUGCAGCACAAGGGGCAUCUCCUUACUUGUCGUCAUAACAGUUUUGUUUCGUUGUGCGAGAAAUUGUGGAUUAGGACAAGGUUUGGACCCAACUUUGGCGGUCCGGAAUUCUUCGAUUCAGCUGGACUGGAAGGUCGAACAGGAUUGGCACAUUGAAGUGGCAGUUGAAGCAAGAGCAGACGGGGACUCGAUUGUGCAAUGUGUGCACAAUUCGAUUGUGCAACAAACGACUCCUAGUAGCAAAAUUUCGAACUGCAUGAAAAUUUUUAUUCCUCGAACGUCGUCUGCUCGAAACUGAACGUGAUUACGUGAGGCCGUUACGUGAAAAAGUGAGUUCCGCCAGUUUUUUUUUUAUAUAAUAAUAUGAUAAGGGAUGGUCGUAGUACUUUUUCUUAAUUGCUAUUCGUGUUGACAAUUGCCGAUAUAGUCUAUCUUUAAUACAGCACUGAGUGAAACUGUAUCAAUACUCUUUGCAGUGUACCUGAACGUUAGAAAAGGUAAUUCUAGCUUGGAUUCUCUACGACAAGGUUACUUAAAAUAAAUAUGUAUGCAUUUGCAGGUAUACUAGCCCAUAAUUUUCACUAGGCCCAAUUAUUUGAUCACAUGUUCUUGUAACAGCUGUACAUUACGCUAAAAUAUCUCUUGCCACCUGUACAUGCUAUAGUGGUGUACAGCUUUUUCAUCCCUUGCAGAUUACACUUAAAGUGAAGGUAAUUAUGCCACAAAUUACCUUAAAGAAGGCAAUAGAUUUUGAUGACCAGCUGAAACCAUUUGUUUACAGAUUGUACCCAAUUCACUAGUU
rnacentral:misc_RNA from 1 species